AAUCAACGCUGGCGGCGUGCCUCAGACAUGCAAGUCGAACGCGAAAGUCCCCUUCGGGGGACAAGUAGAGUGGCGCACGGGUGAGUAACACGUAGGUAAUCUACCUUCGGAUGGGGAAUAACAACCGGAAACGGUUGCUAAUACCGCAUAAUGCAGCGGCACCUAAUGGUGACAGUUGUUAAAGCGGGGGAUCAAAGACCUCGCGUCUGAAGAGGAGCCUGCGGCGGAUUAGCUAGNGGUAAGGUAAUGGCUUACCAAGGCUACGAUCCGUAACCGGCCUGAGAGGGCGGUCGGUCACACUGACACUGACAUACGGGUCAGACUCCUACGGGAGGCAGCAGUCGGGAAUUUUGGGCAAUGGGCGAAAGCCUGACCCAGCAACGCCGCGUGAAGGAUGAAAUCCCUCGGGAUGUAAACUUCGCAAGAACGGGAAGAAUAAGUAGGGGACAAUACCCCCUAUGAUGACGGUACCGUUUGUAAGCUCCGGCUAACUCCGUGCCAGCCGCCGCUGUAAG
rnacentral:rRNA from 1 species